UAAGUGUUUUGUUGUUUUACUCAACAAGGAUUUGCUGAGCGGGUUUUGUGUGCCAGGUUUAAGGAAGGGCCUGGGACUCCACAGCAUCCCCGUUCGAGGUGGGCUGGGACAGCCGCUGUGACGGACAAUGCUUGGCAUCCAGACGUGGGCCCGAAGGGAAGGAACUCGGCCCGUUGGUCACCGGGGAGCCUAAGCCAGUCUCCCCUGGAAGCUCCUUCCAGAGAUGAGGAAACAGGCUGCCAGGUGUCCCUGAAACUGCCCAAUGACGGUGACGGUCUCACUCUGAGCUCUGGGGACACUUCUGCAGCCCCAACACGUCUCCACCACGAUGCCCCACUCCCGCUCUUCUGCACCAAGAGGCUUCGUCCUUGCGUUGGGAAGAGCUCUGAGCGCCGGGCAGUUGGCUAUCUUCUGAAACCCGUAGGACCACGUUUUGUUUCUGAGGCCAAUGUGUGGAAGUUGUCAAAAUAUCUUCAAGAAUAAUUUUAUUUCUUGCAAAUAUUGAAAAUGAUUCUCCUGAUUUGAACAUCAGUUUUGGCCUUGUGCUUUAAGAGCAUAAUUCUCAGGACUCCACUUGGCCAACAACCAUAGGACCCCAGAGUCCUGCAGGAGGAAGACACCCCCUGCUUUGUGGUCCCCUUUUCUAGGUCACAUGACAUUUCUCACUGGUCAUUUAGCAAGUUGGAAAUUCCAGCUGUGGAUCAGGAUGCACCUUACUGACUAGUCCUUAGUAGCAGUCAGGAUUCUUCUUUUUUUAAUUCUACAAACUGUUUUGUUUACUACCUCUACUUCUAACAUAAUUCGUGCACUUCUAAAUAUCAGGUGUUCCAAAUAGGACUCCAGUUUGUCCACUGUGUACCUAGUAGUGCUGGAUCAACUACAUACAUGUAACCGUGGUUAUAUCUGAAAGGAACAUUCU
rnacentral:lncRNA from 1 species